rnacentral:rRNA from 1 species
UGGGGAAUAUUGCACAAUGGGCGAAAGCCUGAUGCAGCAACGCCGCGUGAGGGACGACGGCCUUCGGGUUGUAAACCUCUUUUAGCAAGGAAGAAGCGAAAGUGACGGUACUUGCAGAAAAAGCGCCGGCUAACUACGUGCCAGCAGCCGCGGUAAUACGUAGGGCGCAAGCGUUAUCCGGAAUUAUUGGGCGUAAAGAGCUCGUAGGCGGUUUGUCGCGUCUGCUGUGAAAACCCGAGGCUCAACCUCGGGCCUGCAGUGGGUACGGGCAGACUAGAGUGCGGUAGGGGAGAUUGGAACUCCUGGUGUAGCGGUGGAAUGCGCAGAUAUCAGGAAGAACACCGAUGGCGAAGGCAGAUCUCUGGGCCCGUAACUGACGCUGAGGAGCGAAAGGGUGGGGAGCAAACAGGCUUAGAUACCCUGGUAGUCCACCCCGUAAACGUUGGGAACUAGUUGUGGGGUCCAUUCCACGGAUUCCGUGACGCAGCUAACGCAUUAAGUUCCCCGCCUGGGGAGUACGGCCGCAAGGCUAAAACUCAAAUGAAUUGACGGGGUCAUAGCUGUUUCCU